UCGCACACGGUCUCAUCAGUGCUAGCGCUAGUGCUACUGCACUGUGUAGUGCAGUACUAUACUGCAACAGUGCAGUAGUAUGUUUUAUUUUUUGUUGGAUCAGCGAACUGCACAACAGUGACAUGAAAAAGGCGUAGGGCUUCACAUAAAACCUGCAUGAAAUCUCACUUUAUCAAUCAUGGAGACCAGUACUAUCAACGAAGAUAAGAUACCAGAAGGAAUGACAAUAAAACUACGUUCUGUAUCCAAAGUAAAGGAACCGUCACCAAACUAUCAAGAAGAAAAGGACUGCUGCCUAGAAUAUUUUGACAAAUGGAUUGAAAAUGAACAACUUGAAUUUGUGCAGGCUCUGAUCCUGCGUAUGUGUCAUUAUCAACAUGGUCAAAUCAACGCUUUUCUCAAACCUAUGUUACAGAGAGACUUCAUCACAGCACUGCCAAAGAAAGGCCUAGAUCAUGUUGCUGAGAAGAUCUUAUCUUAUCUGGACUCAAAGUCAUUGUGUGCUGCCGAGGGAGUGUGUAAGGAAUGGAAACGUGUAAUAUCAGACGGCAUGCUAUGGAAGAAACUCAUCGAACACAAAGUUAGAACGGAUAACCUAUGGAGAGGCUUGGCAGAGAGGAGAGGAUGGGUUCAAUAUUUAUUCAAACCCAAGCCAGGAGACCAGCAACAAGGGGAUUCAUUCUUCAGGAAACUAUAUCCAAGAAUCAUUCAAAAUAUAGAGAAUAUUGAACACAACUGGAGGUGUGGUCACCAUGAACUCUAUCGAAUCCAGUGCCAUAGUGAAACGUCAAAAGGCGUCUACUGCCUCCAGUACGACGACACAAAAAUCGUUAGUGGUCUUAGGGAUAACACAAUCAAGAUCUGGGACCGGCAAUCUCUGCAAUGUAGAACAGUAUUAAUGGGUCACACAGGCUCUGUGCUGUGUCUACAGUAUGACGAUAAAGUCAUUAUCACAGGCUCUAGCGAUUCCACCGUCAGAGUAUGGGAUGUGAAUACAAGCGACAUGCUGAAUACCUUAGUCCACCAUAGUGAAGCUGUUCUUCAUUUACGAUUCAAUAAUGGCCUCAUGGUCACAUGCUCAAAGGACCGAUCCAUAGCAGUGUGGGACAUGCAAUCGGCAGGUGAUAUCAGCCUAAGAAGAGUUCUUGUUGGACAUCGUGCUGCUGUCAAUGUAGUAGACUUUGAUGAUAAAUACAUUGUAUCUGCUUCUGGAGAUAGGACAAUCAAGGUUUGGAACACGUCAACCUGUGAGUUUGUGAGGACUCUGAAUGGGCAUCGGAGAGGCAUUGCAUGUUUGCAGUACAGAGAUAGAUUAGUUGUUAGUGGUUCAUCAGACAAUACAAUCAGAUUAUGGGACAUAGAGUGUGGUGCAUGUUUGAGAGUUCUUGAAGGCCAUGAGGAGCUGGUACGCUGCAUCAGGUUUGAUAACAAGAGGAUUGUCAGUGGAGCUUAUGAUGGCAAAAUCAAAGUAUGGGACUUACAAGCCGCAUUGGAUCCACGUUCACCAGCAGGCACUCUCUGCCUUAGGACACUAGUUGAGCAUACAGGAAGGGUGUUCAGACUUCAAUUUGAUGAAUUCCAAAUCGUCAGCAGUUCGCACGACGACACCAUCCUCAUAUGGGACUUUCUUAACGUGACUCCCCCUGAACAACCCUCCAAGUCGCCGACACGCACCUACACCUAUGUCUCCAACAGCUGCCGGUAAGGCAGUCGGGAUUGUUUCGUGGACCGAAAGCGGUUUGAAAGUGAUUGAAACUUUAUGGGUUGACUUUGUAGAACGGGAGUCUCUGCUACAGAGUGGGAGUGUCCACUGUCGAGCGGGAGUCUUCACUGUAGAGUUGGAGUCUUCACUGUCGAGUGGGAGGCUUUGCUGUAGACUUAGAGUCUUCGCUGUUGACCAAGAAUCUACACUCUUGAGCGGGAGUCUACACUCUUAGGAGCGAGAGUCUUCUCUCUAGAGCAAAGUCUACACUCUUGAGCGGGAGUCUACACUAUAGAGCGGGAGUCUUUACUCUAGAGCGGGAGUCUACACCCUAGAGCGAGAGUUUACACUCUAGAGUGGGAGUCUACACUCUAGAACAGGAAUCUACACCCUAGAGCGAGAGUUUACACUCAAGAGUGAGAGUUUACACUCCAGAGCAGGAGUCUACACUCUGUAGCGGGAGUCUACACUCUAUAGAGUGGGAGUCUACACUCUGGAGUUGGAGUCUACACUGGGGUCUGCGUUGUUGACAAAGUAUUUUUGUGAAAUCACUGCAACCUCAAUACCGAUCGAAGGAUAUUGAAUAUUUACAUUGUUUCCAAGGAUACAGCUACUCAGAGGAAGAAACUUUAUGCCCAGACAUAGAGUCAGAGAGAGAGAGAGAGUCUACACAUAGAUUUUUUUUCCAGAUUUAUAGAUAGAUAGCCUAGUCUUGAGAUAAAUUGUUAUGUACAGUCUGAACAUUCAUCUCAAAUUUGGACUUGUAUGUAAGUCAAUGAUGCAAGCAAUCCAUAACAGGUUGCUUGCUUCAGUUACUUUUUUAUUGUGAUUCUGUAUGGGAAAUGUCUUUUGUAAGAAAUAUAGACUGUCAUCGUUGUAUAAUCAGAUUUUAAAUUUUAAGUGUGGUCAAAUGGAAGGUAUAGACUGGCAUUGAAACAGACAGAGUACUUUCAUACUUCUGUUCCAGAUAUAUAUUUUAUAUGAAUUUUGAAAAUAUUUGGUGAUAAAUCUCUUUCCAUGCAGACUACUAAAUGAACAGUUAAUGGUUUCGACAAAGCUGUAAUGCACACAGUAUACACACAUUGUCCACUCCCAGGGGAAUAUUCCAGCAACGAGAGGUCAAGUCUCUCAACUGCUACUAAAAGCCAACAACAUCGGCAUUCACGUCUUACCCGGAAUCCAUUUAACACAUGGGUGAAGAGAGGCAACUGUAGAUGGAGACACCGAAUGCCAUGGUGGACUUGAACCUGCGACCCUCCAAUAGAAAGGCAGGGGUCAGGACCAUGAUUCUUAAAUGCGUGAUGUGGUGGAUGGACUCGAGAGUGUCGAUGAACAUAACAUCUACAUGAAGCUGGCAGAAAGGCAUCAGGAUCAAUGCCUUUGUCAUUUCAUAGUCUGUUGGUCAGGCAGUAGAGCAUAAACUCUUGUACGCACUUUACAUUUCAUGUAGCGUAUGCUUGAGCUAAAAGCCCUUAUGCCAGACUCACAGAUAUGGAAAAUUGCCGCGCAUGUGCAAUCUUCCACCUUUCUACCAGCCAAGCGAUGAUUUAUAGCUGUGUUCAGAUGUUAUACGAAGGGCCUCAACAGCACAAUCAAUGUUUCAGUAUCGACCACUGGUUCUAAUAUUCAAAUUAUUUUCUAUUCAAACAAAAGUGAUUGAUAUUUAUUGAUAUUGAUUUUGUAGCGAAUGUUGUGAUUCAAAUAAGAUUUAUAAGUAGAAUUUCCUUUAUCGUUCCCUAUCUUUUGCAGUUUAGACUAGAUCAUGUGAAGUGGUUCAUGAUGACGAUUGUAUCUUGCAAAAAAAAGGGACCAGAAUUCGUAUUAUUUGAACAUAUCAUUAUGGUAUGGAAUGAAGUUUGCCUUAUAUACACACACAUAUGUAUGUUUACAUUUAUAUUUGUCAAGUCUGUGUCAUAACGUGUCAUAUAAUCCUGUUCGUUGUCAUUAAAUCUUAAAGAUGAAUACUAUACUUUGUGAUGUGUUCCUUGUAAAUGCACUGCUCUUGAAUAGACAACUCUUUUAUGUCACUUCUCGGAGCCCGUUGAUAUUUACUUCCUUUACCUUAAACCGGACCUGACCUGUCCUGUAUUCAUGCAUGUGGUGGCAAAUUUCAUUAUUCUAUUAUUCCAAAUUCUUUGUGAGCAAAUUGUGGGUGGAGGGUUUUAGUUGCCAAAUCUUCAAAGACACAAUGUGUUGAUUUUAAGUUCAGUGUUCACCUUUUGGUCUUGGUGUUAGGUAAAUUUUACACCAGCAUAGCUCCAAACUGAGAAAGAAGCUGGUCUGAGAGUGUUUUUCACUAAGUGUUGAGAUAUUAACACCUGGUGAUUUCCGUUUCAGUCUUCACCUUUUGAUGUUGGUGUUGAGUUUAUUUUUAUGUCAGCACAGCACCAAACUGAAAGAGAAGCUGAUCCUAGGACAAGUAUCACAUGAAUCACUAUGUGUUCAUAUGUUCAUAAUCUACAUGUACUUUGGAUCAUUUUAUAAACUCAGAUGAGGUUUUGGUGCUACAUGUAGGUGAUAGGAAAGGCAGUCUAGUGUGCUGGUAACACCAACACCAACCACCAGCAUGAACAUCAAACUUUAAAUCCCCUGCUGUGCGAUGAAGCUGUGCCUGAAAUCCUGCUUGACUUUACCGAUGAUACGGAUAUAAGACAAUCUUUUCAUAUGAAAUCACAUAUCAGUCAUUUUUUUUUGUUAUAACAGAAUGUUUCUAAUGUAAAGUAUACUUUUUGUGACAAUUUCCAUGAAGAUUAUUGGAAAUUCAGUCUCGGUGUCAAUCUCUAUACCUACAAUGUAUUGGCACUUCAAAUCGGAUGCAUUUUUGAUGUCGGGAAGGGGUAACUUUGCCAUUUGAGCCGAUACACCUAUGAACUAAAAAUGUCAAAAGUUAUCAGCGGAGUUACUAAAAAUCAUUAAAAAAUCAUAUAUUUUUUCUAGGACCCAUAUUAAUACGCUUUCUCUGUAAUAACUAAUAUUUUGAUUACUGCCCGCUGAAAACCAUGAAAUCCUAAAAAAGAAAGAAAGGAGUACAUGGCAAAUGGGAAAGUUGUCCCUACCACUGUCAAAAUUCACCCAUGAAGUUGCCAAUUUGAGAUUUACAUAGUCUUACUGAUCUCCUCUUUCAAAAUACCUAAUUGUCUGAUUUCUUUCAAAGAUUGACCAGUAUCUUUUCAUUAUUUUUUCUGCUUGUACACCUACGAAUUUAUUACCAAGGUUGAUUUUUGAGAGAUUUGUGUGAACCUUGCAACUCUCUAAUAGCUGCCCAUUCAUUUACCUGUACCUUCUUCUAAAAACCAUUUGUAUCUAAUUGUGGACCCAGUCUAAAUAGUUGUGCCGAUCAUAUGAGUAUGUAUAUUUGUGAAGUGAACGUUUAUAUCAUCAUCACAUUGUCAUUGGACCUCCAAACUGGUGAAUAUUGUGUAUUUGUAAUCACAAUUUUUAAUUGUAUAUGUGAGAUAUACCGUGUCGUCCCAUAUAAAAUCUUGUGAAUAAGAAUGUGUUUUGUUGGAUGUGGUCAUUUAACCGUGAAUGCAUCAGGAAUAUAUGUGUUUUCAAAUUGUCAAUCUUUUCAAAUCAUAGCUAAGGUUUAUUGUGUUAUAAAAUUUGGAGCUCAAGAGGUUUAAUUACAAUUUUAGAGAUGUUUUCUUUAAAGCUUUCCUAUGAAAUUUAAGGAGUGCAAGAUUUAUAUGUGUGGUUGGUCGUGGUUUCAUUAUCUUAAACACUGUGGCCCGUAUUCUGAUUGCAGGUAUAGCUUAAACUCAGGUUUAAAGUUGUGGUUUAAGUAUGGAAAGCCAAUUGUUACAUAAAUCACUAAUAGAAGAAAUAUCAUUCUUCAGCUCAUUUGGCUCUCGAAUGAUUCAUAACUGUCUAAGAAGUAUAAAUAGGUGAUUGUCUUCACCAUCUAUUAUUGAGGAAAGAGCACAUAAGAAACAUACAACUUCAUAAAAACUUUGACACGUUUGGCUUCCCAUACUUAAACCACAUCUUUAAACCUGAGUUUAAGUUAAACCCGACUUCAGAAUACGGGCCUGUAUGGUUUGAAUGAGAGCCUGAAAUAUUUCUUUUUCUCCCUGCUCUACUAGUCGUGGACGAGAUUUCGUUGUCUGUGGGUUAAUAUUUCUCAUCCAGCUCUGUCAAACAUUGUAUCCAUUCUCUUUGUAAUGUCAGCUCAAAUGUGCUUGAUUAAUUCCAGUGAAUUAGUGCUUGUCAAAGGCACCUAGUUUGUUCUAGACCUGUUGGCGCUCCAUUGUGUUAAGUUCUAUCAAUGAUUUCGUGGGAGUGUUCUACAAAGAUUUAGGUAUGUCUGAGAGUCGCACAUAAAUGCCGAAGGGUGUAUGAUAUGCAACGUGCAAUCUUAUUGAUUAAUACGCAAUAGUAUGCAUCCUCUUUGCAUGAUCUGACCAAUAUGGUCGUGCCUUUUAUAUCGCAUGCAACUAGGCAUUUAAGUGUGACUGUAAAGUCAUACUUUAACCUUUGUGAAACACCCCCCUUGAGAAGUUAUUACUGCCAUCAAAACAUUGAUAUUCAUUGCCAGCAAUAAUUACUUCCCAAAUAUCUGUUAUUUUGAGCAAGCGAUACAGAAUUUUUCCUCUGUUCACCCCCCAUUAGUUAUUGAUUUCCUAUGGCAAUUCAAGAUCUACAAAAUAUAAAAUUUCUAAUCGAGGUUUAGUUAUUUUUAUACAUCCUAAAGAUAUUUACCAAAUGGUUAUUACUUACCGGUAUGGAUACUUCAUAAGAUAUCAAUCUGUAAUUAUUGUUGGUUUUGGGGGGUGGUUUUGCCUGUAUAUAUUAAACUGCCAGUAGUUUAUGCUUUUUAAGGACUGGCCUAAAGUAAAAUGUGAUAGAUAUAAUUCAUUCUUGAUGAAGUUUAUCUAUAAAGGUGGAUUGAAUUUAAUUUUAACUUGAUAGAGAAAUUAGUUGUAUUAUAAUUCAAAUAACCAAUUAAGAAAAUAAAUAACGGAAAGAUGAGUAAAGAUUAUGGGAACAACCAUCCUAAACUUUGAAAAUGUGCAAUUUCUGUAAGUCAUUUAUUUUGUAAUUUAAGAUGUAGUAGUACCAGACCAUAUUAAAGGGAGGGGUGCAUUUCAUGAAACAAAUAGGAUUUUUCACCAACUAUUUUGCUCUGAGCCAAUCAGAAGCAAGGAUUUCAGAAGCUUAUAACAAGUAGUCAGUGAAAAUAAUUGAUAAUUUCUUUCAUGAAAUGCUCCAGUGCUGUGAUAUGUUAAUGUUCAAUCUUACUUUGUAGGCUUCACAUAGUAAAGUAUGCCUGUGAAUGUGCUCAUUUGAAGAAUUGCCCCACUCAACAUUUUUAAUGGAAAUUUAUGUUUAUAUUAUUUUUCACACCUCAUAUUUUUCUUAGAGGUUGAAGCCAUUUCUUCGGUCCCUGUGAGUUUGGCUCGUGUCAGAUUUGAUUAUGUUAUCUGUGCUUGCUUUUAUGUCCACAAAAAAUUUCAUCUUAUACACAUUACCAGGCCUUUAGUACACUUGUCCCAAGAUAUUCAUAUCCUACCGUUUCUGUCAUAUACAGUAUCCCAAAUGUGAGGGUCAAUGGCAUGUAUGCUAUAUGUAAAUUUCUAUUCGACUUUGCUUUAGUUGUUCAAAUACAAAUGUUUAUGUAUGUAUGUAUGUAUGUAACAUACUCAUGGGGUAUCUUGGCCUAGAGGGUGAAAUAACAUGCAAUCCCUUGACCUGGGGCCUGUUGCAUCAAAGACAAACAAGAGUUUUUGUUUUAUUUGCGACUUGUUUUAUGGCAAAAGUUUUAUGCAACAGGCCCCUGUGGUCCAUUUCCUAAAGCUUGUUACGAUGACAAAUUUCCAAUAACAGUUUUAAGCUACUGAAAUCCUUUGAUUUGAUUGGCUGAUAGAAAACUUGUUAUAGAAAUUGUGUACUUGUUAUUUUAACAAGUCUUCAUGAGACAGAACCCUGACAUUGAUAUUGUUUAGUUUCAGCAUGCCUCUUUCUGGCUCAUCCUUUGUGCCAACAAUCAACACAGUACCGGUACUUGUGGAAACGUGUUGUACGUUCUGGAAAUCUAAUAAAUUCCAACACUGUAAUCUGCAUGUUAUAAUGAGAGAGUAGCACCAAAAGCUACUACCAACCAUACAUGGUUUUAGAUGCCUUAAUUUCACCCGCAAGGCCAAGUUUCCCAGGAAGGACCACAUUUCAAGAUUUUUAUCAUUUUUGUCAAUGACUAGGAUACAUCCACCUGAUCACGCUAGUUAUUGUCUAAGAACUUGCUCUCCAACAACACAUAAACUCCCAAAUGUUGAUGAGUGCAUGUGAGUGUGCGAUGUGUGUAUAUAUCAAUAUAAAUAUAUAUACAUGAUUAUAAAUGUUGACGAUAUUGAUAUCUUCGUUUCAAGAAAUAUAUGAACAAAUCUGUGGUCACCUGUGACCUUCAAAUCCACAUCAUUUCAGUAGGUUUGUACAUACAGUGGAACCAUUUGAUAUAACAUAUGAUUUGUAUCUGAGAGUCAAAACAUUUGAAUACUUGUGUGUGAAAAACAAAUAUGGCUUCAACAUUUUAUUCGAAGCUUUGUUGAAAAGAAAUAUUAGCUUCUAGAGGGACGUCCAAUUGGGAUGCAUAGACUUCACUCGCUAGUUCAAAUACCCCACUCAGAAUUCUUUGACCCAUGUGGGUAUGGUUAACAACUAAUUUCUUCAUGAUUUGAAUUUCCAUUUUGCGUAAUUCAGUAAUGAAAGGUUGACUUUUUGAUGUGGGAGUUUUCAUAUUAGUUAAUGCAGCGGUAAAUUAGACCAGGAAAUACCACAAAAAUACAGACUUGGUAAUUACAGUAUAUGAAUGAUUUAUAUUUUAACUGUAUGCGACUGAAGAGUUGAUUUGCAUUGCUGGCUAAUAGACUUUAUUCUUGAUCCUUGAUUUGAAAACAAAUAUAUUGUAUGAGUAGAAUUUAAUAAAGCAUGGACAAGUUAGACCAAAUGCUUCAAUCUCUGUAUAUGGUCAAUAGCUCAAAUGAGAUUUUCUUUUUUUCUGACUCUGCAAGCCCUUGGUACGGUGAAAGGCUGACAAAUAUUGGUUUUGAUAAAUGAUUCCCCUUAACAAAUGGUUAUUUCUCUAUAGGAAAUCUUUUUGUAUCAUUGGGGAUGAUUAUAAGCCAUAUUUUGCCAGCCCGGGUGAUGUGUACAAAGUAAGUCUAUUGGAGAAAUGUUUAUUCAUUAAUCUUGGCAGGGCUGGUCUUCAACAUAUUCCUCUUAAUUUUCAUCUUUAUGAUUUUAUCCUGCAGAUAUUUUUAAAAAAAAGUUGACAUAUUAAAAAGUUUCAUUAUGAAUAAGUUAGAUGAUUAACCUGUUACAUAAGAUCACUUUUGGUAGUAACUAAGAAUUAUGAAAACUUUAUUUUGAAUGGCUGUUGGGUAAUGUUACCGAGGUAGAUACUACUGAUGGUAGUUACGAUUAAUAGUAAAUUUUUAUGUAACCGGGUCUUAAGUGAUGGGAAAAAAGAAGUCUAUUGAUUCUGGACCCCUGUUUGGCAAUCAAUUGUACAAAUGAGUUUUAUGGUUGAUUGCGCAUAUCUAUCAAUGCAAUCAUUUGAUCUUACGAUCAAUUCACCAUGUUUUGUGUCAAGGGCCCCCGGGUUGCCGUCAAUGUACGGCAACAGCAUCAUGUAUGCGAUUGUGACGACGAUAUCCCUGUGAUUAUCCCAAUGUACAAACCCAACAGUGCAGAGUAUAGACUAUGGAUAGAUAGAUAAUUGUGUAUGAUAGAAACCGUUAUAUAUGGGUGGUUGGAUGGAAAAAAUUCCCUUGUCCUUUUUAUCACAAUGUUUUCAAACAAUUUCUUUGCAUAGCUAUUGUAUUUGCUUUUUGUAUGAAAGGAAAGCUUGAAAGAUAAUAAAAUUUCAUUGCAUUUGAAAGAUC
rnacentral:misc_RNA from 1 species